AGAGUUUGAUCAUGGCUCAGAUUGAACGCUGGCGGCAGGCCUAACACAUGCAAGUCGAACGGUAGCAGGAAGUGCUUGCACUUUGCUGACGAGUGGCGGACGGGUGAGUAAUGCUUGGGAACUUGCCUUUGCGAGGGGGAUAACAGUUGGAAACGACUGCUAAUACCGCAUAAUGUCUACGGACCAAACGGGGCUUAGGCUUCGGCGCAGAGAGAGGCCCAAGUGAGAUUAGCUAGUUGGUGGGGUAAAGGCUCACCAAGGCAACGAUCUCUAGCUGUUCUGAGAGGAAGAUCAGCCACACUGGGACUGAGACACGGCCCAGACUCCUACGGGAGGCAGCAGUGGGGAAUAUUGCACAAUGGGGGAAACCCUGAUGCAGCCAUGCCGCGUGUGUGAAGAAGGCCUUCGGGUUGUAAAGCACUUUCAGUUGUGAGGAAAAGUGAGUAGUUAAUACCUGCUCACCGUGACGUUAACAACAGAAGAAGCACCGGCUAACUCCGUGCCAGCAGCCGCGGUAAUACGGAGGGUGCGAGCGUUAAUCGGAAUUACUGGGCGUAAAGCGCACGCAGGCGGUUUGUUAAGCUAGAUGUGAAAGCCCCGAGCUCAACUUGGGAUGGUCAUUUAGAACUGGCAGACUAGAGUCUUGGAGA
rnacentral:rRNA from 1 species